rnacentral:rRNA from 1 species
GACGAACGCUGGCGGCGUGCUUAAUACAUGCAAGUCAACUUGACUUUAGAUAGCAAUAUCGAAAAGUAGGGUGGCGCGCGGGUGCGUAACGCGUAGGUAAUCUGCCCUGAGGUCUGACAUAACCCGUCGAAAGGCGGGCUAACAUCAGAUGAUAUAUAAUCACGACAUCGUGGAAAUAUCAAAUCUUCGGAGCCUUGGGAUGAGCCUGCGUCUGAUUAGGUAGUUGGCGGAGUAAUAGCCCACCAAGCCUACGAUCAGUAGCUGGUCUGAGAGGAUGAUCAGCCACACUGGAACUGAGACACGGUCCAGACUCCUACGGGAGGCAGCAGUAAGGAAUAUUGCUCAAUGGGGGAAACCCUGAAGCAGCAACGCCGCGUGAAGGAUGAAAUACUUUUGUAUGUAAACUUCUGUAAGAUGGGAAAAAUAUUACUCCUCGGGAGAAUUGAUUGUACCAUCAGAGUAAGCCCCGGCUAACUACGUAGCCAG